UCAGAGAGUUCAGAUUUCAUUACAAUGCUGACAUGGUCCACUGGCCACCUGCCUACACAGCUCUGCUGUUUAUCAUUUUCAGCUCUUGUCAAACACUCCUCUAAUUACGGCAGAUUUUCCUGAGGUGGUGAAGGCCUUCAGCUUCCAUAGUCCCAGACAUGUAGCCUGAGAAUGCUCCCUUCUUUGCUCCACUAACCCAUGACAUGCUUCCAAAUCUUUCACCUGCAUGAUUAACCUGAUCCACUAGUUAUUCCCUUCCAGCUACGACUGUUGAAAUUUUGCAGAGUACAGGAGUACCCAGUGGAUUUCCAUCUACCAGCAGUUCUCCCAACUGGUUAAUAGCAUUGCUAAACACAUACCUUUUGCUUUCCUUUGAGGCCACAGCCCUCACUCAGGUGCUCCAUAUCUCUCAUCAAGACUAUUGCUAAUUGCCUGCCAAUGGGUCUCUCUGCCUGCAGUCUUUCCACUAGAUGCAGUCAUACCACCACAUGGCUCUUCCUAUAAUCAGCAUCGAUCCCGUCACCCUUUUAUGUAGGGAGGUGCAGUUUACUUUGAAUGGUUGACCCUGUGUCUGAUUUUUCAAGCCAGCUUGAGAUGCCCCACAAUCACUCACCCUUCAACAAACUCAAACUUGCCCUAAUCCUGGACCUCUUCUGUCACUUCUUAUCAGAAUUCCAACUCCUCAUCUCAUUUCUCUUUUUACAUUUCUACACUUGUUCCCCCUGGACCCAGCUUCGUGCUUAUCUCCUCCCUAAAGAGAUAGAUUCUGAACUGUCAUUUCUUUCCUUUGCUUCACACUGUCACUAACCAAGCAGACUGCCCCAGCCAGCUCCUCAAAAUUAUAACCCUGGCCGGAUCCAUCACUUCAGUUCUAUAGAUCACAUUCUGCCCAGGAAGAUGCCAAAAUGCUCACCACAAACACAUAAGAGCUUUUACAAUCUUGUCCUCUGCUACGGUUUGAAUGUGUCCCCCAAAAUUCAUGUGUUGGAAACUUGAUAUUCAGUGCAACAGUUCUGAGAGGUGGGACCUUAAGAAGUGAUCAGGUCAAGAGGGUUCUGAUGUUACGAAUGGAUUAAUGUCAUGAUUUUGAGUAUGGGUUCAUUAUUGCAGGAUUGGGCUCGUUAUCACAAGAGCAGGUUUACUGUAAAAGCAAGCUUGACCCUCUCUUGCUUCUUCUCUCUUAUGUGCUCUCUUACCCUUCAACCUUAUGCCACGGGAUGAUGCAGCACAAAGGCCCUCACCAGAUGCCAUGCCAUGUUCUUGAACUUCCCAGCCUCCAGAAUCAGGAGCCAAAUACAUUUUUCUUUAUAAAUUACCCAGUCUCAGGUAUUCUGUUACACAGCAGGAAGCAAACUAAGACACCUACAGACUACAAACAGCAGUCUGGGAGUCCAAAAGCCACAUUUGAUUGGUAGACCUGUUUGGUUUGACCCCUGCAGUAGGAUGGAAUGGAGCCAACAUGGAAAAACCAGAUUCUCUAUGGAAAAACCAGAUUUUCUAAGGAAGGGCUCUAUCCCAUUAACAUUUUAUCUGGAGUAAAAUGGAGCUUGCUAAUUCUCUCAGGACUCUCUCAUAUUUACUGAUAUCAUUGGUUGGCCUGGCCAUUGUGGACUUGUACCUACUGUUUCUCUAAUCCUUACUACCAAGAAUUAUCCCUCAUCCUAGGUACAGGGUACACUUUUGUUCCAUGCAUCUUCUCGGAAUUCUCCGGCAUAUUCCUGCUCCUCCCCAGAUCCUUCCAUACCCAUCCAGCACCCUGCAUAUUGUCAGAUCAAGCAGGUGCAUAGUGAUUCAUGCAGCAUAGGAGUAGUCGUGGCGAACAUAAAGGCAGAUGUCACUUUUCUUACGCUUAAGGAGCUGAAAUACUGAGGAGGUUCGGGAGAAGAGCUAGUCAGCUAAUAGGUGACCACAAUUCAAUGCUGGCAGCAGUGGCGUUAGGUCAAGGAGAACCUAGAGUUGAAACACAUCUGGGAGGGCAGUGAUCAGACAAGACUUCCAGAGGAAAUGACCUCCAAGGUGGGCCAGAAAGAUGAAGAGUUAGACAGAGAUGGUAGGAAGGGCAUUCUUUAUGAGAGGAUGUCAUAAAAAGCCCUUAAAAAAUAGAUGAAAAUUGCUGAUAUGUGUGGGACCAAGUAGUUGUUGGUACAUAAAGUAUGAGGCAUCAAAUAAAAAGAAAUGAGGGUAGAGACAGAGGGGGUGGGGGGCCAGGUCUUGGAAGUCAUGUCACAUGAAGAGCUUAAGCCUGGCCUUUUUUUUUUUUUUUUUGAGACAGAUUCUCACUCUGUCACCCAGUCUGGAGUGCAGUGGUGUGGUGCAAUCAC